AAUCAACGCUGGCGGCGUGCCUAACACAUGCAAGUCGAACGAGAAAGUGGAGCAAUCCAUGAGUAAAGUGGCGCACGGGUGAGUAACACGUGACUAACCUACCCUUGAGUGGGGGAUAACCUCGGGAAACCGGGGCUAAUACCGCAUAAUAUCGAGAGAUCAAAGGAGCAAUUCGCUUAGGGAGGGGGUCGCGGCUGAUUAGCUAGUUGGUGAGGUAAUGGCUCACCAAGGCGAUGAUCAGUAUCCGGCCUGAGAGGGCGCACGGACACACUGGAAC
rnacentral:rRNA from 1 species